rnacentral:sRNA from 1 species
GUCACGCCCGAAGUCGUUACCCUAACCGCAAGGAGGGGGAUGCCGAAGGCAGGGCUAGUGACUGGGGUGAAGUCGUAACAAGGUAGCCGUACCGGAAGGUGUGGCUGGAUCACCUCCUUUUAGGGAGACCUUUUGCCAGCAGCAACCCAAAAUAAAACGCUGUCUGUGCGAACAAUCCCAAGGUCGUGCCAGAAAGGAGUAAGCUUUCCAACUAACGAAGGGUUCGUGGGCUAUUAGCUCAGGUGGUUAGAGCGCACCCCUGAUAAGGGUGAGGUCCCUGGUUCGAGUCCAGGAUGGCCCACAUUAGCACCUUGAAAACUGCAUAGAAAAUAGAUAGAGAAAUAUCAGAAAAUCUGAUAACCAGGUGAAAAAUCCAGGUCAAGCUACAAAGAGCUAACGGUGGAUACCUAGGCACACAGAGG